rnacentral:tRNA from 1 species
GCCCCCGUAUCCCAACCGGCAGAGGAAGUCGCCUUAAAAGCGAUUCAGUGUGGGUUCGACCCCCACCGGGGGCACCA